AGGACCAUGUCAAAGCGCAACACGGUAUAUUGGCAUGCAUUGUUCAUGGGUUUAUUUUUAUGUGUACCACAACUUGCUAUUUACCUCAAAUUUAUCUGUGAGAUUGUAUAUCUCUCUCUAAAAGUAUGCCUAGGGAAUGAAUCACAGAUGUGAAUGUUACUCAUAUUUAACAGCAUUAGGACACAUUUCAAAUCAAGAUUGCUUUUUCCCUUGUAAUAUUGUGCAUAUAUCAUAACUUAAAACCAUGUUACUCAGGACUGCUUUCUACCACUUGACCCUACUCACUAGAAUUUGUUUGUGUCCAUCAUGUCCUUAUGUUGUCUAAUAGUCAGCAUUCUACCUUUCUGAAGCUACUGUUAAUUGAUAAACUCCUUUGCAUUAUUGCGUCCUUAUCCUUGUUUUUGUUUGAUCUCCUGCUAAUUGUUUCAAAGUUACUUGGCUCAUUGUAUUAUACUUUGUACCGUAAAUCUUGGUUAUAUGGCUUUUGUUGAUAAUAUAGUAUAGUCAUACUUUAUUUUGAUAUACCUUCUCUAGAAAUGUUUUAUCUUAAUUGCAGUUCAUUGGCACUCCACAUUGGAU
rnacentral:misc_RNA from 1 species